rnacentral:rRNA from 1 species
UAGGGAAUAUUGGACAAUGGGCGAAAGCCUGAUCCAGCAACGCCGCGUGCACGAUGAAGGUCUUCGGAUUGUAAAGUGCUUUUAAGGGAGAUGUGAAAGGACAGUAUCCCUUGAAUAAGCCUCGGCGAACUACGUGCCAGCAGCCGCGGUAGAACGUAGGAGGCAAGCGUUAUCCGGAUUUAUUGGGCGUAAAGCGCGUGCAGGCUGGUUGGAAAGUUGGAUGUGAAAGCUCCUGGCUUAACUGGGAGAGGUCGUUCAAAACUACCAAACUAGAGAAUGGGAGAGGGAAGUGGAAUUCCGGGUGUAGUGGUGAAAUGCGUAGAUAUCCGGAGGAACACCAGUGGCGAAAGCGGCUUCCUGGACCAUUUCUGACGCUUAGACGCGAAAGCUAGGGGAGCGAACGG